rnacentral:rRNA from 1 species
GUAGGUGGCAAGCGUUGUCCGGAAUUAUUGGGCGUAAAGCGCGCGCAGGCGGUUCUUUAAGUCUGAUGUGAAAGCCCACGGCUCAACCGUGGAGGGUCAUUGGAAACUGGAGAACUUGAGUACAGAAGAGGAAAGCGGUAUUCCACGUGUAGCGGUGAAAUGCGUAGAGAUGUGGAGGAACACCAGUGGCGAAGGCGGCUUUCUGGUCUGUAACUGACGCUGAGGCGCGAAAGCGUGGGGAGCAAACAGGAUUAGAUACCCUGGUAGUCCACGCCGUAAACGAUGAGUGCUAAGUGUUAGGGGGGUUUCCGCCCCCCUUAGUGCUGCAGCUAACGCAUUAAGCACUCCGCCUGGGAGUACGGCCGCAAGGCUG